rnacentral:lncRNA from 1 species
GCUCACACGCGGCCUGGUCAGUUCCCGACGCCGCCAGCAGCGCUCUGCGCAGCAUCCUAGCUGCUGCGCCAGCCAGCUCGGGAGUGCCUGCACCGCACAUCUUGCCCUUGACCUGGGGACCCAGGCCUUGGAGAGGCACCUCGCAGAGCCCUACCCUCUCCAUCCUCGGCGGCCUUGCGUUCUGUGUGCUGCCUCCCUAGAGAUGAGAAAGGAAAAUGCACAUCAGGAUGGCCUCAGAGAAAGUGGCCAAGAAGCCUGAUGCUCCCAAGGUUAAUACAGCCUUUGUCUCAGGGGAAGGUGACAACAAGCUGCCACUCCAAAAGCUGCAUGCCUCCAGCCAGGCUCAAAUCAAGUCCCUUCUACACCUCCCUUUUAUACUGGAACUGCGUGUUUCGAAGAUUUACAAACAUGUGGGAGAGCGAAAAAACAAAGCAGCAGCAUUUAUCAAGGCCAACUUCAUCAAAUAAAACAGAAAAGAUCCACCAUCAUCACUACGCCCCUAGAAUACCUAGUAGUCUGAAAUAAUAUGAUUUCCCAGUAACUUGUCCAGCUGUUGCCCACCCCACCCCACCCUACCCCACCCCCAGCCAGAACACUCAGGCUGCCCCCUACAGCCCUUCACUGGGGCCGCCAGCUAUGCAGGGACCCAGAAAACAGAAAAGGAGGAAUAUUC